rnacentral:rRNA from 1 species
AUGCUUCCUGCCCGGGUUGAAGAGCUGAAGAAAUCUGCUGCUAGAACUGGCGCUAUAAACGCCUUAAUCCGGGUAAAAGCGUGGGUGCCGGAUUUUGAUCCCGUUGAAGCGGCCCAAGGCUACCCCAGCUUGAAGGAAGACGGGACAGAGUUCAGUGAAGAUGAUCUCCGAGUGAUAAACCGGGAAGUGCGCCCUCUAGCUUGUCAAUUGGUUGAAGAGGCGGAUUUGUCCCACUAUCAAGCCCAAUAUGAUGAUCAAAACAAACGAGUGGCUGCAUCAAUUCCCGAAGUGGAGAACCUUAUACCUCCAAUCCGUAAGCAUACUUACGCCCCUCACAUUGAACCGUCGUUGCUGAUCAGUGAUGAAGCUGUUUUUCAAGCGUUAAUUGGAAUCGACUGGGCAACUGUUGAUUUCCAGCUAGUGGGUAGGGAGGAAGAGGCUGAACCGGCGCGAGCUGAACCGCAACCAUCAGGUCAAGCUGGUGACCAAGCAUGA